rnacentral:rRNA from 1 species
GACGUAGGGCGCGAGCGUUGUCCGGAUUUAUUGGGCGUAAAGAGCUCGUAGGCGGCUUGUCGCGUUGUCCGUGAAAACCUGGGGCUCAGCUCCAGGCUUGCGGUCGAUACGGGCAGGCUCGAGUUCGGUAGGGGAGACUGGAAUUCCUGGUGUAGCGGUGAAAUGCGCAGAUAUCAGGAGGAACACCGGUGGCGAAGGCGGGUCUCUGGGCCGAUACUGACGCUGAGGAGCGAAAGCGUGGGGAGCGAACAGG